rnacentral:rRNA from 1 species
GACGAACGCUGGCGGCGUGCCUAAUACAUGCAAGUCGAACGCAGUGGGGACGGGUGAGUAACACGUGGGUAACCUCCCAUCAGAGGGGAUAACACUUGGAUACAGGUGCUAAACCGAUACUGAUGGAUGGACCCGCGGUGCAUUAGCUAGUUGGUGAGGUAACGGCUCACCAAGGCCACGAUGCAUAGCCGAGCUGGUGGGGUGAACGGCCACACGGGGGCUGAACCACGGCCCAGACUCCUACGGAAGGCAGCAGUAGGGAAUCGUCGGAAAUGGGCGAAAGUCUGAACGAUCAGCGCCGCGUGAGUGAAGAGGGUUUUCGGAUCGUAAAACUCUGUUGUUAGAGAAGCGGUAUCUAACCAGAAAGCCACGGCUAACUACGUGCCAGCAGCCGCGGUAAUAC